rnacentral:rRNA from 1 species
UACGAACCGUCCUAACGUUGUUCGGAAUCACUGGGCUUAAAGGGCGCGUAGGCGGGUUCCCAAGUCGGUGGUGAAAUCUUUCGGCCCAACCGGAAAACAGCCGCCGAUACUGGGAGUCUUGAGGGAGGUAGGGGUCGAUGGAACUUCCGGUGGAGCGGUGAAAUGCGUAGAUAUCGGAAGGAACGCCGGUGGCGAAAGCGAUCGACUGGACCUUUUCUGACGCUGAGGCGCGAAAGCCAGGGGAGCAGACGGG